rnacentral:rRNA from 1 species
GACGAACCGUGCGAACGUUGUUCGGAAUCACUGGGCUUAAAGGCGCGUAGGCGGCUUGCCAAGUCGGGGGUGAAAUCCGGCAGCUUAACUGUCGAAGUGCCUUCGAUACUGGCGAGCUCGAGGGAGGUAGGGGUCUGUGGAACUUCUGGUGGAGCGGUGAAAUGCGUUGAUAUCAGAAGGAACGCCGGUGGCGAAAGCGACGGACUGGACCUCUUCUGACGCUGAGGCGCGAAAGCUAGGGGAGCAAACGGG